rnacentral:misc_RNA from 1 species
GUGAAGUAGCACUUCCUAACCCACAUCAAUCUACACACAAAAAUCUCAUCCAAAUCCGAUCCAUUAAAUGUGUUAAAAUUUAAUAAAUAUCACAUGAAGUAUCCAGAUCAGUAUCCUCCACAAAAGUUGCCAAAAGCCAUAUGGUGAAGUAGCUUUCCUUAACCCACAGUAAUCUACAUAUUAAAAUGUUUCUAUAAUUCAAUAAAGGAUAUCAAAAUUUACCAAAUGUCACAAGAAUCAC